rnacentral:rRNA from 1 species
UACGUAGGGGGCUAGCGUUGUCCGGAAUCAUUGGGCGUAAAGGGCGCGUAGGCGGCUUGGCAAGUGGAUGGUGAAAUCCCUCGGCUUAACCGAGGAACUGCCAUCCAGACUGCUUCGCUUGAGACCGGGAGAGGUGAGUGGAAUUCCCAGUGUAGCGGUGAAAUGCGUAGAUAUUGGGAGGAACACCAGUGGCGAAGGCGGCUCACUGGACCGGUACUGACGCUGAGGCGCGAAAGCGUGGGGAGCAAACGGG